GAAGGAUUUUGAGUAAAAAGGGCAGAAGAAUUGGCUAUGGAUUUGGAGGAGCUUAAGCAGCUUCAAAGCAUCGCUAAGAGGCCACGUAUUUGAUCUCUUAUUUCCUCUGAGAUUAGCAACUUGGAAAAGACAUUGAAAGAGGAUGCAAAUGGACCUUCUCCUGCUGUUGUUCCACAAAUUCUAGUUCC